rnacentral:rRNA from 1 species
GGGUUGUGAGGUUAAGCGACUAAGCGUACACGGUGGAUGCCCUGGCAGUCAGAGGCGAUGAAGGACGUGCUAAUCUGCGAAAAGCGUCGGUAAGGUGAUAUGAACCGUUAUAGCCGGCGAUGUCCGAAUGGGGAAACCCAGUGCAAUUCGUUGCACUAUCGUUUGAUGAAUACAUAGUCAAACGAGGCGAACCGGGGGAACUGAAACAUCUAAGUACCCCGAGGAAAAGAAAUCAACCGAGAUUCCCCCAGUAGCGGCGAGCGAACGGGGAGCAGCCCGGAGUCUGAAUCAGCUUGUGUGUUAGUGGAAGCGUCUGGAAAGUCGCAGGGUACAGGGUGAUACUCCCGUACACUAAAACGCACAGGUUGUGAACUCGAAGAGUAGGGCGGGACACGUGGUAUCCUGUCUGAAUAUGGGGGGACCAUCCUCCAAGGCUAAAUACUCCUGACUGACCGAUAGUGAACCAGUACCGUGAGGGAAAGGCGAAAAGAACCCCGGCGAGGGGAGUGAAAAAGAACCUGAAACCGUGUACGUACAAGCAGUAGGAGCCUCUUUAUGGGGUGACUGCGUACCUUUUGUAUAAUGGGUCAGCGACUUAUAUUCUGUAGCAAGGUUAACCGUAUAGGGGAGCCGCAGGGAAACCGAGUCUUAACUGGGCGUUAAGUUGCAGGGUAUAGACCCGAAACCCGGUGAUCUAGCCAUGGGCAGGUUGAAGGUUGGGUAACACUAACUGGAGGACCGAACCGACUAAUGUUGAAAAAUUAGCGGAUGACUUGUGGCUGGGGGUGAAAGGCCAAUCAAACCGGGAGAUAGCUGGUUCUCCCCGAAAGCUAUUUAGGUAGCGCCUCGUGAACUCAUCUUCGGGGGUAGAGCACUGUUUCGGCUAGGGGGUCAUCCCGACUUACCAACCCGAUGCAAACUACGAAUACCGAAGAAUGUUAUCACGGGAGACACACGGCGGGUGCUAACGUCCGUCGUGAAGAGGGAAACAACCCAGACCGCCAGCUAAGGUCCCAAAGUCAUGGUUAAGUGGGAAACGAUGUGGGAAGGCCCAGACAGCCAGGAUGUUGGCUUAGAAGCAGCCAUCAUUUAAAGAAAGCGUAAUAGCUCACUGGUCGAGUCGGCCUGCGCGGAAGAUGUAACGGGGCUAAACCAUGCACCGAAGCUGCGGCAGCGACACUAUGUGUUGUUGGGUAGGGGAGCGUUCUGUAAGCCGUUGAAGGUGGCCUGUGAGGGUUGCUGGAGGUAUCAGAAGUGCGAAUGCUGACAUAAGUAACGAUAAUGCGGGUGAAAAACCCGCACGCCGGAAGACCAAGGGUUCCUGUCCAACGUUAAUCGGGGCAGGGUGAGUCGACCCCUAAGGCGAGGCCGAAAGGCGUAGUCGAUGGGAAACAGGUUAAUAUUCCUGUACUCGGUGUUACUGCGAAGGGGGGACGGAGAAGGCUAUGUUGGCCGGGCGACGGUUGUCCCGGUUUAAGCAUGUAGGCGGAUGUUCCAGGUAAAUCCGGAACGUUAUUAACGCUGAGGUGUGAUGACGAGGCACUACGGUGCUGAAGUGACAAAUGCCCUGCUUCCAGGAAAAGCCUCUAAGCAUCAGGUAACAUCAAAUCGUACCCCAAACCGACACAGGUGGUCAGGUAGAGAAUACCAAGGCGCUUGAGAGAACUCGGGUGAAGGAACUAGGCAAAAUGGUGCCGUAACUUCGGGAGAAGGCACGCUGAUAUGUAGGUGAAGUGGUUUACCCAUGGAGCUGAAAUCAGUCGAAGAUACCAGCUGGCUGCAACUGUUUAUUAAAAACACAGCACUGUGCAAACACGAAAGUGGACGUAUACGGUGUGACGCCUGCCCGGUGCCGGAAGGUUAAUUGAUGGGGUUAUCCGUAAGGAGAAGCUCUUGAUCGAAGCCCCGGUAAACGGCGGCCGUAACUAUAACGGUCCUAAGGUAGCGAAAUUCCUUGUCGGGUAAGUUCCGACCUGCACGAAUGGCGUAAUGAUGGCCAGGCUGUCUCCACCCGAGACUCAGUGAAAUUGAACUCGCUGUGAAGAUGCAGUGUACCCGCGGCAAGACGGAAAGACCCCGUGAACCUUUACUAUAGCUUGACACUGAACACUGGUCCUUGAUGUGUAGGAUAGGUGGGAGGCUUUGAAGCGUGGACGCCAGUCUGCGUGGAGCCAUCCUUGAAAUACCACCCUUUAAUGGCUGGUGUUCUAACGUGGGCCCCUAAUCGGGGUUGCGGACAGUGUCUGGUGGGUAGUUUGACUGGGGCGGUCUCCUCCUAAAGAGUAACGGAGGAGCACGAAGGUCAGCUAAUCCUGGUCGGACAUCAGGAGGUUAGUGCAAUGGCAUAAGCUGGCUUGACUGCGAGCGUGACGGCGCGAGCAGGUGCGAAAGCAGGUCAUAGUGAUCCGGUGGUUCUGAAUGGAAGGGCCAUCGCUCAACGGAUAAAAGGUACUCCGGGGAUAACAGGCUGAUACCGCCCAAGAGUUCAUAUCGACGGCGGUGUUUGGCACCUCGAUGUCGGCUCAUCACAUCCUGGGGCUGAAGUAGGUCCCAAGGGUAUGGCUGUUCGCCAUUUAAAGUGGUACGCGAGCUGGGUUUAGAACGUCGUGAGACAGUUCGGUCCCUAUCUGCCGUGGGCGCUGGAGAAUUGAGGGGGGCUGCUCCUAGUACGAGAGGACCGGAGUGGACGCAUCACUGGUGUUCGGGUUGUCAUGCCAAUGGCAUUGCCCGGUAGCUAAAUGCGGAAGAGAUAAGUGCUGAAAGCAUCUAAGCACGAAACUUGCCCCGAGAUGAGUUCUCCCUGACCCUUUAAGGGUCCUGAAGGAACGUUGAAGACGACGACGUUGAUAGGCCGGGUGUGUAAGCGCAGCGAUGCGUUGAGCUAACCGGUACUAAUGAACCGUGAGGCUUAACCUUACAACGCCGAAG